UUUGAUUCUCUGUGCUUCGCUUUAUUGGUCUCAAGUGACUGAGAAAGUCAGUCAGUCAGGUGGGUCCGUCGCAGCUGCACCAAAAGGAUAAGGACAAAAUCUUCUGAAGGGUGCCAACACACACACACACACACACACACACACACUAGCAUUGAUGUGAGAAGCAGCCACUUUUCUUUGUGUUUGACUCACACACUGCACCACCUGCUAGGUAAAGACAUUUUUAAGAAAGGGUGAUAAUUCACUUCCCAGCUAUCCGUUCCUAUUUAGAUGACGGAGUUUUGAACUAUCAGAGCCGAGUAAAACCUGAGCAGAGAUUGACAGGUGAGGUGAUGGAUGUGCUGAAUGGAGGAGAACUGCUCAUUAAUGUUGGAUGAGAGUGAGCGAGGGUGCUACAGUACACAGCAAACAAAAGUCAAUUUCAGAAUAAAAGAGGAACCCGGGACAUGAAGUGUACACACGGCUGUCAGAUCCGACUUCCACUAGAGAAAACAUUCAUUAACUCUGAGAUUAUAAACUCUAAUUAUUUUAAUUUGCCUGCACUUUUGUCUCCCAAAUGUAGCCAGUUAUUAUGAUCCCCCUCUUACACACCCCACCUCCCCACAAACUGAGACUAGACUAGACCAUACCAACUCUGACAGUGUGGGAGGGGGCUCCUCUGCAGUGUCGUGACAACUGCAUCAGCUAGGUGACAUAAAAUCAGCUGAAUUUGAGUGGAGCAAGCCCAAGGCACUUUUGGGGUAAUUUAUAAAACCCCUCCAGACUGUCACGCUGUCAUCCAGUGAUUCACGCGAGGUUUCCCGACUGCUCUUCCCUCCUCGCCUCUCCUCCACCGGUGAGCCAGUCAGCAGAGGGAGCUGAACAAAGCCAUGGGAGAGAGAGAGCGAGAGGAGCUUCUAGGAAGAAAUGUCUCUCACUGACUCUGUCGCCUGGACAACCGGGUAAGAGAGGAGGGGAGGGUGCACAGAAGCGAGAGAGAGAAAGGAAAGAGGAGCAUAAAAGGAGAGAAAAACAACACAUUAUUAACUGCUGAGACAACAGGAUUCCUUUAGUGUAUUUGGGGGGCGGGAUGGGAAUGGAUUAGUCUGUCAUUUUCCUGUUGGGGGUUCCCUUGGUGUGUCUCUUUCUUGAUGAGUUAUUAACUCUGACAAUAAAGCAGUUUUUUUGUUCUUCUUCCACACCAGAGCAUGGAUGAGAUGAAAUUGCAGAGCACAAGUUCAGCACAUUACAAGUGGACCCUGCAGGCCUGAGCGCUUCACCUGUAAAUCUCUUCUCAUCAGGUGCCAGCAUGGAUGUGGAGGAUGAGCCGCUGCUGUUUCAGACCAGCUGGGGAGGCGAGGAAGAUGAUGAGGAGGAGGAGCAGGAGGAAGAAGAUGGAGUAGCACACGCAGCAGGACGGAGCUGUUUGUCUGGGGAAGUGUGUGGACUGUGGAGGGCGGUGGGGUGGGUGUACACUCAGCCCUGGGCCAGUGGAGUGGUUUUAGGGGUAGUUGUGUCACUACCCUGCGCCCUGUUUGCCUACAUGCUCCUCUACUGCCCUCCUCUGGACAUAGACCUGUCCUACAGUGCCUUCGAGGUUCACAGCCACUUCUCUGCUGAGCGCUUCGACGCCCUCACCAUCGCUGUAAAGACUCAGCUGGGGUCCUGGGACAGGCGUAGGAGAGACUUAGAUGACAGCGAGUCUGAGGAGCUGAGGGAGCUCCUCCUGGAGAGGCUGAGCAGACAGGGACUGUUCAACAGGACGGAUAAUGAGGGUGUGAGGUCCCCCACUCCUCAGAAAGAGCUUUUACAGGCAGCAGAUGAUCAGAGGAGAGGAGCCGCCGCGGGCACAGAUAAAAGGACAGUGCUAGAUAUGGGCCAGGAUGAAAUGGGGCAGCACAAAAACUCAAAUCAAAGAGCAGUGGACGAGGCGGAGAGAUCAUGGGAUGGAAAUAUCACUCGGCCGCUCAUCAGGAGGCGCAGGUUUGCUCCCAAUUACUACCUGCAGAGCCAGGCUCAGUGGAGGAUAGAGCUGGUGUUUGUGGCUCAGGGGGAGGGAGAUCUCAACAUCUUCACCCCUGAACGCCUGCAGACCAUUCACCAUGUGGAGCGCCUGCUCAUGCAGCAUCCACAGUUUCAUCAGUUCUGCUGGAAGCCUCUGGAGAUGUUGAGGGAUCUGCCGCUGGGACCCUCCUACUGCUCCCCACCCAGCUCCCUCCUGUCCUACCUAUACCCCAGUGAGAGAGGAGGGAAGAUCUACUACGAUGGCAUGGGCCCUGAUCUUGCUGAUAUUCAAGGGUCUCUGAGUCUGGCCAUCACCCACCCACAGUUCUACUGGUACGUGGAUGAGAGUCUGUCCCCCGAGCAUCUGUCCUCCUCUCUCUUACGCAGUGAGAUCCACUUCGGAGCUCCUCUCCCUUCCUUCUACUCCCUGCAGGACCGAGCUCACGAGCAGAGAUCACGCUUCAAAGACUUUGUGGUUCAGUAUGCAGACACCCUGGCCAAGCAAUCCACCAGCCAGGUGAAGGUGCUGUAUGGGGGGACGGAGCUGUUUGAUGAUGAGGUGAGACACACCUUCCACAAUGACAUGAUGCUGGCUGUCAUCAGUGGAGCCUGCAUUACUGUGCUCGUCUAUGUCCUCACCUCCUUUUCUGUGUUUCUGACUUUCUUUGGACUCACCAGCAUCGGACUGAGCUGCCUGAUGGCUCUUUUCUUGUACCAUGUUGUCUUUGGCGUGAGGUACCUGGGCAUUCUCAAUGGAGUUGCAGCCUUUGUUAUUAUUGGGAUUGGGGUGGAUGAUGUAUUCGUGUUCAUCAGCACCUUCCGACAGGCUUCCCAUCUGUGUCAGCCGCAGGAGCGAAUGAUCUACACAAUUAAAACAGCCGGCCGCGCUACUUUCCUCACCUCCUUCACCACCGCCGCUGCCUACGCUGCCAACACUUUCUCUCAGAUCCCGGCCGUGCAUGACUUCGGCCUAUUCAUGGCCCUCAUCGUGAGCUGCUGCUGGCUCUGGGUGUCCAUCCUGAUGCCUGCCGCCCUGUGCAUCUGGACUGAGAUUGUGCAGCCUCAGGAACACGCUUGGUUGAAUUGCUGGAAGCUGUUUCCCAGACUGUCAGCGAGCCACGGCCCUUUGUCAGAUGAGGAUGAUGAUGUGGCACUUCUAUCUGUGGAGAUGGAGCCAGGUUCCUGUGACACAGACGGUGAUGCAGCCAUUCUGUCCCUGUCAGUGGAGACACCUCUGUCUGCUCCCGGGCAGCAGCAUGUGGGUGUGGUGAGCACAAACCUCCGAUGGGCCCUAAAGCACUUAGCAGCAGAGCCAGCUGUGGAGCGACGGAAGUCUGUUCUCGGUGUCUUCCUCCUGGUUCUGCUCUUAUCUGCCGGCUGCUGCUGUUUCCUGAGGCCGGCCACUCACGCCCCCCUCCUCUUCCGCCGGGACACAAACCUCCAGACUCUGCUGGCUCUGAGGAGCAACCUCAGCGGGCAGGGCAUCUCCUGCCCCAUGUGCUCAGGUGUGUUCAUGGAAAAGCCCCAUCCUUUGUACACACACACUUCCUCCUCAGCAUUUAAGUUCUCUACACAUCAGCAGCAUCCGAGCACAACAAGCUCCAAUGCUCAUCGGACCUCAGUAAAACCAAACUCAAACACCAACCAAACGGACUCUUUACUCACAGUGUUCAUAUCAAAGUUGGACCUCGGCUCUUCGACAACCCUCUACCGCUUCUCCCUCAACACCAGCACCCCCUCCCCAUGGAAGCUGUGCAGCACAGAGCACGAACAGGUGUCAUCAUUCCAGGCUUAUAAUCAGCCCCGCCGCAAUUACACCAGCAGAAUGACAGUGUGUGUUUCCCAUGUGUACCACCCGUACCCCAGCUGGAUGAUCACAUCCACCUCGUGUGAACCCCGGCACGGGUGGAGCCCAGAGUUUUCCUUUUAUGUGGCACCGUCUGUGCAGCAGAGCAGCAGGAGAUUGUUCUUUGCACAGCGCCACCUGAGACCUCAUCCCAGCCGAGUGUGUGUCUAUCCGCCCGGCUGCGGCAUCAGUUCUGGGCCUGAUGGACCCACACAGGGAUCCUUUUAUAUUCCUCUUCCCAGCGAUCCCUCGUCUGCUGCCAAACUGAGGUCAUCCAAAACGUUUGGUUUCAACCCGUGCAGUGGUGGAGCAUGUGGCCGCCCGGCAGUGCGUCCUCUGGUGGACACCGGGGCCAUGGUGUUUGUUGUGUUUGGCAUCCUGGGAGUCAACCGGAGCGAGCAGAGGGACAACCACGUAAUCGGAGAUAUGGGCAGCAUCAUAUUGGACCCAGACUUCGAUGUGUUCCAGGAAAUGGAGCAUCUUUGCAAAAUGUGUAAAGCUAUAAGUGCAAACACACAGCUCGUGAAGCCCGGAGGAGCGCAGUGUUUACCUUCAGGUAAUAAGCUGUCUUCUGUUCUGCCUCUGCUCCACCCUGAGUGUCACUCCCUCCCCGAGCCCAACCUGCUCCCGGGGCAGCUCUCUCACGGAGCAGUGGGGAUGCACGGAGGCAAAGUCCGCUGGCUGUCCAUGGCCUUUGAGUCCACCACGUACAAGGGCAAGUCCUCCUUCCAGACCUACUCCGACUUCCUUCAAUGGGAGAACUUCAUCCGGGAGCAGCUCGCCUCUCUCCCACAAUCCUCUGCUCUGCAACGGGGCUUCCAGACCUGCGAGCACUGGAAGCAGAUCUUCAUGGAAAUCAUAGGAGUGGAGAGUGCCCUCUGGAGUCUGCUGCUGUCUCUGGCCAUCUGUGUGGCAGCUGUGUCCGUGUUCACCGCACAUCCUCUGCUGCUGCUCCCAGUGCUCAUCACCAUUCUCGGAGUGAUCUGUCUGGUGGUGGCCAUCAUGUAUUGGCUGGGCUGGGAGAUGGGAGCGGUGGAGGCGAUUUCUCUCUCCAUACUGGUGGGAUCCUCGGUGGAUUACUGUCUGCACCUGGUGGAGGGAUACCUGCUGGCUGGGGAGACCAUGAUCCCCAUGCCCGGUCAUAACUCGGAGCCCGGGGCCGAGAGGCAGAGGCGGACCCUGGAGGCCGUGAACCAUGUGGGCGUUGCCAUAGUGUCCAGCGCCGUCACCACGGUGAUCUCCACAGUCCCUCUCUUCUUCUGCGUCAUUGUGCCUUUCGCCAAGUUUGGCCAGAUAGUGGCCAUAAACACAGCCGUCUCCAUUUUCUUCACCCUGACCGUGACCGUGGCCAUGUUGGCGUGCGUGGCCCCCCCUCGCUUCUGCAGGCCCCCCGGUGCUGUGCUGAAGGCCAGCUUGGCCGUGAUGGCGGCGGCAGCCUUGGGAGCGGUUGUGUGCUGGGUGGGGGGGCAGUUUGGAGCACUGGCCUGGCAACCAAUCAGCACGUAAACACACAAUCGUCCGCCAACUCACACUGAUGUCACGCAGGGGAGUUCCUCUGUUAACCGAAAGCACUCAGAUCAGUAAAUGAUCUCUACAGCACAAAGAUGUUACAGUCCUUUAUUCGAAGCGGAGGUGGAGAUGAUUCAGUGAUCAUUGGGAAACGGAGGCUGAGUCACAGUUUUCAUUCGUGUAUCUCGUUGAGUUCUGAGGAACUGAUGACUGUUCUGUGACCUGUGAACACCGAUAGCCUGCUCUGACGUGUGUGUGUUAACACGGCCAUCCUGUGACCUUUCUCGUGUUUCAUCUUUUCCUCUUGAAUGUUGUUCAAGAUGUGGCUGGAUUAAAAGUUGUACUCGUCAAGUUUUUACCGUGCACAGUUCUGUGAUGUAAAUGUGUCAGUGAGCUGCUCUCACACAUUGUGAACUGAACUCUCUGCCAGCACACACACUUCUUCUUGAGACAUGUUUAUAUUUACACGCCCUUUUCCUUUUACGUUUAUAUCUUGGAGCUCAAGCUGCUUUCAAUCAGCUCCAAGGGAAAGAAACCUCGUCAGCUCCUCAGGUGUUCCCUCACAUCCUCCACUGCACUCACACACACUCACUGUAACACACUCUGCUCUCUUACAAACUAGAGUACCACUCUAACACCCAUCGACGCCGGCUCCAGUGUGCCCCGCAGUGAGGGCUAAGGGCCAUUUGUCAAGCCACAUAACACAAUAAUGGUUAAGGAGAGGGACUCAAUUGCAGCAAGCACAGUACAUUUUUGUGUGUGUGUGUGUGUGUGUGUGUGUGCGUGUGUGUGCGUGUGCGCGCGUGUGUGUUACUUGUGAAUGUCAAAUAAAACAAGUGCAGGAAGCCUCGGGUGUUUCCUUCUUGCUGUUUUCUUCUGCAUUGUUAUGUAACGGAGACCUUUCACUGUUCUCCUUCAGUCACUUUCUUUCUCUACUGGGAGAGCUACCGUACGCAGCAUCACAUCUCCAGUUGGCCGUCGUUAAUUAUUCAUGUGAAACGGCUCAGA